rnacentral:rRNA from 1 species
CAGGUCGAGGGUUUGAUCAUGGCUCAGGAUGAACGCUAGCGGCGUGCCUAAUGCAUGCAAGUCGAACGGGAUCCUUUGGAUUCGUCUAAAGGUGAGAGUGGCGAACGGGUGAGUAACACGUUGGUGACCUACCCCAGAGAGGGGGAUAACCAUUGGAAACGAUGGCUAAUACCCCAGAUGUCGUGACCGUUAGAGACUCACGACUAAAGCUCCGGCGCUCUGGGAGGGGCCUGCGGCCCAUCAGCUAGUUCACAGUAUAUUACCAGUUGGCCUACCAAGGCGAAGACGGGUAGGGGGCGUGAGAGCGUGACCCCCCACACUGGUACUGACACACGGACCAGAUACCUACGGGUAGCAGCAGCAAGGAAUAUUGCCCAAUGGACGCAAGUACUGAGGCAGCAACGCCGCGUGGAGGAAGAAGGCCUUCGGGUUGUAAACUCCUUUUCUGGGGGAAGAGAAAGGACGGUACCCCAGGAAUAAGUCUCGGCUAACUACGUGCCAGCAGCCGCGGUAAAACGUAGGAGGCGAGCGUUAUCCGGAUUUACUGGGCGUAAAGCGCGUGCAGGCGGUUUCCAGUUAAGUCGGACGUGAAAGCUCCCGGCUCAACUGGGGAGAGGUCGUUCGAAACUAGGUUACUUGAGGGUGGUAGAGGAGAGUGGNAAUUCUCGGUGUAGUGGUGAAAUGUAGUAGAUAUCGGGAGGAACACCAGUGGCGAAGGCGGCUCUCUGGGCCCACCUGACGCUAAGACGCGAAAGCUAGGGAGAGCAUCGGGAUUAGAAACCCCGGUAUUCCUAGCCGUAAACGAUGUCAACUAGGUGUAGGGGGUAUCCAACCCCUCUGUGCUGCAGCUAACCAGUUAAGUUGACCGCCUGGGGACUACGGCCGCAAGGCUAAAACUCAAAGGAAUUGACGGGGACCCGCACAAGCAGCGGAGCAGUUAUGGUUUAAUUCGAGGCUACGCGAAGAACCUUACCAGGGUUUGACAUGACGGUGGUAGGGAGGCGAAAGCUGACCGACCCUUCGGGGAGCCGCCACAGGUGCUGCAUGGCUGUCGUCAGCUCGUGCCGUGAGGUCACAAGGUUAAGUCCUGUAACGAGCGCAACCUAUUCAUCGCUAGAUAGAACGUGUCUAGCGAGACUGCCGGUGAUAAGCCGGAGGAAGGUGGGGAUGACGUCAAGUCAGCAUGGCCUUUAUAUCCUGGGCUACACACACGCUACAAUGGCCGGUACAAUGGGUUGCCAAGCCGCGACAGUUGAGCCAAUCCCCCAAAGCCGGUCUCAGUUCGGAUUGUAGGCUGCAACUCGCCUGCAUGAAGUCGGAGUUGCUAGUAACCGCGUUUCAGCAACAGUGCGGUGAAUACGUUCCCGGGUCUUGUACACACCGCCCGUCACGUCAUGGAUAUCCAGAACGCCUGAAUUCCGGUGAGCUAACCCUAACAGGAGGCAACCGCCCAAGGCGGGGUCGGUAACUGC